UACGUAGGGGGCAAGCGUUGUCCGGAAUCAUUGGGCGUAAAGCGCGCGUAGGCGGCUCUGUAAGUCCGUUGUGAAAGUCAAAGGCUCAACCUUUGAAAGCCGAUGGAUACUGCAGAGCUAGAGUCCGGAAGAGGCGAGUGGAAUUCCUGGUGUAGCGGUGGAAUGCGCAGAUAUCAGGAGGAACACCAAUUGCGAAGGCAGCUCGCUGGGACGUUACUGACGCUGAGACGCGAAAGCGUGGGGAGCAAACAGG
rnacentral:rRNA from 1 species